CCUACGGGCGGCAGCAGUGAGGCAUAUUGGUCAAUGGGCGCGAGCCUGAACCAGCCAAGUAGCGUGAAGGAUGACUGCCCUACGGGUUGUACACUUCUUUUAUAAAGGAAUAAAGUGAGGCACGUGUGCCUUUUUGUCUGUACUUUAUGAAUAAGGAUCGGCUAACUCCGUGCCAGCAGCAGCGGGAAUACGGAGGAUCCGAGCGUUAUCCGGAUUUAUUGGGUUUAAAGGGAGCGUAGAUGGGUUGUUAAGUCAGUUGUGAAAGUUUGCGGCUCAACCGUAAGAUUGCAAUUGAUACUGGCAGUCUUGAGUACAGUUGAGGUAGGCGGAAUUCGUGGUGUAGCGGUGAAAUGCUUAGAUAUCACGAAGAACUCCGAUUGCGAAGGCAGCUUACUAAACUGCCACUGACAUUGAUGCCCGAAAGUGUGGGUAUCAAACAGGAUUAGAUACCCUGGUAGUC
rnacentral:rRNA from 1 species